CCAAGUCAGCGUGCGUCCCUAAACCACUCCGACGUUUGCUGGACCAGGCGGAAACACAAACCCUGAAUUGGAUAGGCCGCUAUACUUUUUCCAAACACGUACAAAAAUGAAACAGAGAUCCAGCAGAAAUGAACAUGAAUACUCAAGGUCGCGCGCCCGUGCACAGUGUCUUUAUGGUCAUUAUAUUAUACGUCUGGGAGCUGCGAAUGAACCCCACCUCCACAUCUUAAACAGGCUACCAGUACCACUCACCGACCACUCCUCCUGAUUCCACUUUGAACAACGCACGUUCACCGGUAACUGCAGCACCAUCUCGUUGAAGGCCCUCCCCCUCCUCUUUGACCACUUGAACUUGUCCAUGGCCUCCGUGAAGGUACUGGAACUCCUGGAAGUUAAAGUCAAAGUCUUCAUCCUGCGCCAGGGGCUGCAGCUCCUCCCCGUCCCGGAAAUGUCUGGUUCUUAUGGCGCGGCCAGCCAAGUGGGAGUGCAUCAGGACCGCAAACACUCUGAUCCCACUCGGCAUUUCGUGGCCCAGGGACUAACAGAGGAGAAGGAAGACAUCACAAGGCAACUUUACCUUAUGGCUUCCUGAACACUGGAAAUUCAAGGGAAAUGGUCACAUGGUCUUUAAAGGAACGAAGGAGGCCCAUUGUACUGUACCUCCUGGAGACACUCCUGGGUGCAGUGCCCUUCAGACAUAUAUUCGUGAAGGCCCGGUGGGAGCAUGUGGUACAAGCUGACCCAGACGCCUGUCUCAAUCACUCCAGCAUCGUACCGCCUCAGCUCAGGGCUGUAGAAGAGCCUGAGGCCCGAGUUGUCCAUCACUCCUAGGACAGGCAGCCAAAUCCAGUGUGUGAGAAGAAGACAUUGCAUAAGCAACAGGAAUGAUUUACUGUUUACAGUGGGGCCCAGGUUUGAGCCUGUAAUCCCCGCAUGCUACUGAUGGCCUUGGGGGUCUCAUAUCUCUAUUGUGAAAGGCUUGUUAAGCUGCAUACCAGAUGCAAAGACAAAAUGAAGCUCUCUUAAAAACCUGAAAGUUUUUAGUGACUGGAAAAGAAUUGAUGACAUCAGCAGUUAUUACAAAAUCAAUCGAGCAGUUCAAUAAUAAAAAAUUAUACAAGGAGA